rnacentral:rRNA from 1 species
UACGUAGGGUGCGAGCGUUAAUCGGAAUUACUGGGCGUAAAGCGUGCGCAGGCGGUUCGUUAAGUCAGAUGUGAAAGCCCCGGGCUCAACCUGGGAACUGCAUUUGAAACUGGCGGGCUUGAGUGUGGCAGAGGGGGGUGGAAUUCCAGGUGUAGCGGUGAAAUGCGUAGAUAUCUGGAGAAACACCGGUGGCGAAGGCGGCAUCCUGGACCAAUUCUGACGCUGAGGAGCGAAAGCCAGGGGAGCAAACGGG